rnacentral:rRNA from 1 species
UACGUAGGUGGCGAGCGUUGUCCGGAAUUACUGGGUGUAAAGGGCGUGUAGGCGGGAAUGCAAGUCAGAUGUGAAAUACCGAGGCUUAACUUCGGGGCUGCAUCUGAAACUGUGUUUCUUGAGUGUCGGAGAGGAAAGUGGAAUUCCUAGUGUAGCGGUGAAAUGCGUAGAGAUUAGGAGGAACACCAGUGGCGAAGGCGACUUUCUGGACGAUAACUGACGCUGAGGCGCGAAAGCGUGGGGAGCAAACAGGAUUAGAUACCCUGGUAGUCCACGCCGUAAACGAUGGAUACUAGGUGUAGGGGGUAUCGACCCCCUCUGUGCCGCAGUUAACACAAUAAGUAUCCCACCUGGGGAGUACGGCCGCAAGGUUGAA